UACGGGAGGCAGCAGUGGGGAAUAUUGCACAAUGGGCGCAAGCCUGAUGCAGCCAUGCCGCGUGUAUGAAGAAGGCCUUCGGGUUGUAAAGUACUUUCAGUCGUGAGGAAGGUGUUAAGGUUAAUAACCUUAGCAAUUGACGUUAGCGACAGAAGAAGCACCGGCUAACUCCGUGCCAGCAGCCGCGGUAAUACGGAGGGUGCGAGCGUUAAUCGGAAUUACUGGGCGUAAAGGGCACGCAGGCGGUUAAUUAAGUUGGAUGUGAAAUCCCCGGGCUUAACCUGGGAAUGGCAUUCAAGACUGGUUAGCUAGAGUCUUGUAGAGGGGGUAGAAUUCCAUGUGUAGCGGUGAAAUGCGUAGAGAUGUGGAGGAAUACCGGUGGCGAAGGCGGCCCCUGGACAAAAGACUGACGCUCAUGUGCGAAAGCGUGGGGAGCAAAACAGGGAUUAGAUAACC
rnacentral:rRNA from 1 species